GCGGGCGCGGGGAGGGAGAGGCCAGAAAAGAUCGAGGAGUGGGGAUGGCUCGGGGAAGCCGGGGCGAGAGCUUCGGGUGCAGAGAACUGGGGUCGUGCGUGUGUGGAGCUGGGCUGCAGUUCAGGGAUCUGUUCGAGCUCCGGGAGAGGUGAAGGGAGGCAGUGUGGAGGCGCGGAAGUGGUGCCAGGGACUCGCUGGUGUCCCUGGCUUCCCACCAGGCUGCCACCCUCUGCGGCGUCCCCCUGCCGCCCCCCAGGUGCCAAGGCCGCCCUUUCCCUGCAGCGCACCCCACCCCACCCCCGCCACCGUGGCCCUGAUGUUCAGAGAGGAGUCGGUCAUCUGAAGAGGGCGGAGCCGCCGUGGUUAAAAUGUGCGCGUAGCGUCUAGUGCCAGAGGCCUUACCGGACUACGAAGCUCGCAGCUCCCAAAGAGUAAAUAAGGAAGACCGAGUGGCUGCCUGCCCCUCCCUGCAGAAGGAGCCUGGGAGAGACCAGGCCUCCUGCGACUGCUGGCCUGCUUUUCCUGGGGUCCCUGGGGCCACCAGAAGGAGGGAGAUGACACCACCUCCUCCCCGGGAGGAGCACCUCAGGAGACCCUGCAGGACUCCGAGGAGGAGCUGGCGCUCACAGCCAUACUUCCCAACGGAGACUGUGAAGCCCGAGUCCACCUGUCCCCCCAGCCCACCCGAGACUCGCGAUGAAGGCAGGGCCCCGGGGCUGUCGUGGGCUCUGUCCCUUCUCACCGAGCUGAGCCCCCGUCUCCAUGCAGACCUCAUCUGUGGUGACCACGAAGACCCCAUCUGCUACGGGGCUGCCACCUUCCCAUUCGCCAGCGGGGCUGCGGGACUCGCUGGGACCAGCAGGGAGCCUGCCCUGUGGGCCCUACUCCCCAUUUAGUAUUCGCUCCCCCGUGAUCAUGGGUAGUGAAGUUACUUGGUCUCUCCGUGCCUCAGUUUCUCUGAGCUGCUGAGCUGUGGCAUCCUAGGGUGUGCGGUGCCCUGGGCACACGUGUGGGAGUGCAGCUGGGAAGGAACUGCGACGGCCUCGGAUCCGGGCGACCUUGGCCUUGGGCUUGCUUCCCGGGGCCCGAGGGGUGGCCAGUGCAGUGCCUUCCACAUAGGGCCAGGCUGCCCCUCUGGGCAUCAGUGUGACUGGGCACCCAGCGUCUCACGGUGUGCAGGACACUUUCUCCAACAGCACAGACUUGGCUCUGUCUGAGUGCCAGCCCUGGCACCUUUGAGAAACCCAGGAGACUGAUCCUUUCUAGGAAGAGGCCCCAGAGAGCAUGGGGCUUCCUGGGACUCCGGUUCCCAGAAGAGGUGAAAAGAAAGAGCGCACUGUUCCACGAGGGGCCGUACGGGCCACAGCCAAGAUGCCCACAUGUUUCGGGCAGGUCAGAAACAGCCAUUCAUGCCUUCGAGAAGAAAGCCCCCCUUCUCUCUGUCUCUCUGUCUCUGUCUCUCUAGCUCAUGCUGACUUUGUGUGUGAGGGGCUUUGACGUGCUGGGAGCUGCAGCACUCAGGAACAAAGCCAGGGGACUGGGAUCCAAGCCCAGGACCUGCUCUCCGUCAGGUCUGAGCCCAGGGUUGGAGCAGACACAGCUCCGAGGUUUCCAGACUCUGUCAUCUGUGUCUGAGGCAGAUGGGGUGCAGAGCUGGCCGGGCCACUGUUCACCCACAGGGCAAUCACUUUCUCAUCUCUCAUCCUCCUGCUGUCCCUGGAGAAAGCCAGUCCUGGAACAGCUUGUCCCACCUGAGCAGCGAGAUGCACUCUCCGAGGAAAUGUCUGAUCCAUUCAUUUCUGCACAGUGCUGUGUCCUCUCUCAGAUGCUGCCAAAUGGUAUAUUUUUUGAGUCAGGGUCUCACUAUGUAGUUCAGGCUGGCCUUGAACUCAUGGAGAUCCUCCUGCCUCAGCCUCCCACGUGCUAGGACUACAGACGUGCACCACCACACCCGGGUUUCGCUGACAAAUGGUAGGACAGGAAACCUCUGGCCGAGGGGCUGUGGGAUAUUAAGGAAGGACCCUUCCUGGUCUGGCCGAGGGGCUGUGGGAUAUUAAGGAAGGACCCUUCCUGGUCUGUGCCUUCCUGGUCAGUUUCUCCUCUGUAACAGGGAGCCUAGUCUUGUCCCUCAGAGGCAUCACUGAGAGAGUGUGAGGGUGACCAAGAUGUCCUCCUUGGGUUUCGGUCUGAAUAACACAGGGCAGUGGCCCCAGCAGAUGGAACUCAGCUGGCUUCCUUGAUUGAUGCAAGGGUGAACUCAAGGAAUUUUGACCCAUCAGUUGAGUGGUUGUGUUUAAAUGGGGAGACUCCAUAUUGUUGCCGCUGCUAUAUUUGUUCUAUUUCUCGAUUUCUUUGUAAUCGGUAAUCAUUUGAGUUUUAUUACUGAGUGGGAAUGAGAAAGCUUCAAAGUUAGGAAUUUGUCUCAGACCGAGGUUAAAAGUUUUAAACAUCUUUUGGACUUGUCACCAAUAUUUGAAACCUGAGAGACUACAUUAAAAAGUCUCAUUUCCUGGGUGGGCCGGGCUGCGCCCCCUUCCGCCUCCUGAGCCCGUCCCACCCUUCCUGUACCCCAGCCCAGCGGCCCUCGCUCCUGUGGCACCUGCCGGUUGCCGGUCCUGGUAGACAGUUGAGUUUGGUGGCUCUGGGCUGAGCGAUAGGUCACUCAGUCUUGUCACCACUUGCACCUUCUCGGGAAUAGUUGAAGAGGAAAGGUCUGUGGGAUUUGGGCUCUGCCUUCCACCUGGGUGCCCUCCUUUCUUCCUUGAGCGAGGCCGCCUGCGCCCCCUAUAGGAAAAGCCAAGUGUUGUCUCCCAGUAGACCAAAAAGUUGGGUGCCAGAAAGGAGGCCCUCAGGGGUGGUUAUCUUUCCAGGAGAGCUGGGGCUCCUGGGGGAGGUGACAGGCCCUUGAUUAGGUCGAUAGUCCCCAGGAGCCAUCUUCGAGGGACCAGCAGCCAGGCUUAUCUGGGCUCUCGGGUCCUAAUUGCAAAUAUGGCGAUGGUUUUCCUGCUUCCGACAUCUUAAUAAAACCAAACAGUACCUCACUGGUGUCUUAUCAAAAACAGAAUGGAUAGCUGGGCACUGUGGUUUGUGCCUGUAAUCCCAGCUGUCUGGGAGGCUGAAGCAGGAGGAGUCCAAGUUCAAACAGCCU